rnacentral:rRNA from 1 species
GGGCGGUGUGUACAAGGGGCAGGGACGUAAUCAACGCAAGCUGAUGACUUGCGCUUACUAGGAAUUCCUCGUUCAAGAGCAAAAAUUGCAAAGCUCUAUCCCCAGCACGAUACAGUUUAACAAGAUUACCUAGUCCUCUCGGACAAGGGUAUAGACUCGCUGGCUGUAUCAGUGUAGCGCGCGUGCGGCCCAGAAUGUCUAAGGGCAUCACAGACCUGUUAUUGCCUCGAACCUCCAUCAGGUUUUUCCUGAUAGUCCUCUUAAGAAGAAUCAUACAACAAAUUGUUAUACACCCUAUUUAAGAGUCAAGGUCUCGUUCGUUAUCGCAAUUAAGCAGACAAAUCACUCCACCAACUAAGAACGGCCAUGCACCACCACCCACAAAAUCAAGAAAGAGCUCUCAAUCUGUCAAUCCUUAUUGUGUCUGGACCUGGUGAGUUUCCCCGUGUUGAGUCAAAUUAAGCCGCAGGCUCCACUCCUGGUGGUGCCCUUCCGUCAAUUCCUUUAAGUUUCAGCCUUGCGACCAUACUCCCCCCAGAGCCCAAAAACUUUGAUUUCUCACACGGUGCCGAAAAAGCUAAUUAUUUCACUCCUCCGAUCCCGAGUCGGCAUCGUUUACGGUUGAGACUACAACGGUAUCUGAUCGUUUUCGAUCCCCCAACUUUCGUUCUUGAUUAAUGAAAACAUCCUUGGCGAAUGCUUUCGCAGUAGUUAGUCUUCAUCAGGUUUAAGAAUUUCACCUCUGACUGAUGAGUACUAGCGCCCCCGACUGCUCCUGUUAAUCAUUACGACGGUUCUAGAAACCAACAAAAUAAAACCAUACGUCUUAUUCUAUUAUUCCAUGCUAAUAUAUUCGAGCAUAACGCCUGCUUUGAACACUCUAAUUUCCUCACAGUAAAUGUCCUGACCUUCCCAACCACGCGGUUAAACGCAGCAGGGCGUCCAGGAAAAAGGCUUGCCAUAAGAGUAACGCACCGUUAGGUGGACCCCGCUGAAAAACCCAAAAUUCAACUACGAGCUUUUUAACUGCAACAACUUUAAUGGACGCUAUUGGAGCUGGAAUUACCG